AACAUCUUUAAUGUACUUCAGAGUUGGUUGAUAUCUUGAUUUUUGAUUGCCAAUACUUAGAACCUUUUUUCACAUAAACACAUAGUACAAAAUGCCAUCAGUGUUUAGAGGUGUUUCCGAAGUUGGAAAUGCUAUCGUCAUCCUAAGCCAAAACACAUUUAAAGUUUGUUUUUUUUUUUUUAUGAAGCAAAUGUUGACAAUUUUUGAAAUCAAACUUUCUAGCAUAAUACAAUCUAGAAAUCUAUUGAUUGGAUAUUGACUUGAUUUAGAAUGACAGGAAAAUAGAAGUCUUUCUCUUCUGUAACCUAGUGUUUAUGCUAAAGCUGAGUAUGCACAGUAAAAUCACAUUAAAUCACAAUGCAUAAAGUAACACUGCUGAGUCAGGCAGUGUUUAUUGUUGUUGUGUGACAUGGCAGCAGUGUAGUGCAAAAUGCGCCUGCUGUCUAUGACAACCAAGGCUGCAGUGAAGUUGAGUGAUACAACAUGGCAAGCCCUGCCAGAAACACCUCAGAUUCAUUACACAUUUGGUUUUGACUUAAUUUUUGACCAUUGUUCAUUAGAAAGCUGUACUGUUGUUGAUUUUUUUCCAGUCAGUUACAUGGCUGCCUAUGGGACCAUGGCCCACAGUUUAAGAACAUGGGCAUGACUCAGUAGUAACAAUUCAGUUAUCAGUAAAGUAAUGAAAUCUGAUUUUUUUUUCUUUUUUUUUUCUCAUUUGAAACCAUUAUUAGUCCACAGUCUCAGUUUCAGUUCUCUGUGCUUGGGAAGAUGUCACAGUGGCUUUUAGGACUUUCUUUUGCAUACAGAGGGAGCCAGCCCAGAAAUGCAUUAGAUUCUCUGUAUGUUAAUGGUAGGAGAGGGGCUUUUUGGCUCUGCAGCAAGGCUCAGUAGGCUUGCUCAGAACUGCAGGCCCAUCUCCAUCUCCAUGUGGUAGCUGUCUUAUUUCUGCCGUUUGGUCUUCCAUGGUUUCUUUCAUAUUGUGGUUUACCUGCAUUUUUUCUUUUUAAAACAGUUUUUCUUUAAAUGACUCGUCUUGAUCAAGUUUUAUAAAUGCCAUUCAUAGGAGCUGUGAUUCUGGCAAAUUAAAGUAAUUCAUAGUUUUCUGCAAUUUGAAAUAAAAGCAUUUCCAACUUCUAGAUUAUCAUUUUAUAAAUUCUUUGUUUCAGCACUCAACCUUCAUUCCAUACUAUUUUAUAGUGUGUUGUACUCAAAUACUUAUUUUUCCUUUUGUGCCACUAUUUGAACAAAUGCCAUUCAUUCUUAAAGAACAUUGACAUAUGUAUGUGGCCAUCCUGUGCAUAGACAUACAAUUUCUCACAUACAGAUAUUCAGAAAUAGUAUUUGUACUAGUCUAGUCACCUUAUUUUCUGUUUAAGAUUGGUUUGUUUAAGACCAUUAACAUUUUAAAUCUUCUGAUGAAUUUACAAGUAUUCACUUUAGACAGGGCUCUGUCAGCUUUCCCAGAGUAGACCCAGGGCCUCACUGAUCUUCUGCUGCUGUGUUUUAUGUGUCUGGCCUUGCCUUUUCAUUUCAUACUAGAAAGCCAUCUUCCAGAAUGCUCUCUAGGCUAUUUUUUCAUGAAGGUGAUGUAAGAUAACAGCUGGGUAGAAUUGUGAGCAGUAUGUGCAUAACUUACUAAAUAUGUAAAUUUAUAUUAAAUACAUUUUCCAUGUGAGUUCCCUUUAAAUAAAGUUACUCUUGAUGU
rnacentral:lncRNA from 1 species